rnacentral:lncRNA from 12 species
GGAAGAUGAAAACCCCUAAAGAGGAAAGCGCGGACAAAAGCAUGGACAACGCUGACAGAAGCUCUCAGGUGAAUGUGAAGGAAGAGCCAGAGGAAGAUUCAGACUUUGUAACAAAAGGGAAAGGGAAAAAGAGGAAAAGAAAGGCAGAUAACACGGGUGGUCCCUCUUCUACCUCUGAAGUGGCUUUGUAAGUGUUUGUUUUUUCUAGGCGUAGCAAUGAAUGAAUAAGCCAAUAUCAGAUCCUGCUUGAUAUAUUUCUUAUUUAUAAAAGCAGUGGGGUAAGCUGUGGCAUUUUUUACUUAGGGAUAAAU